UACGGGGGGAGCAAGCGUUGUUCGGAUUUACUGGCGUAAAGGGCGCGUAGGCGGCGCAACAAGUCACUUGUGAAAUCGUCCGGGCUUAACUCGGAAAGGUCAAGUGAUACUGUUGUGCUAGAGUGCGGAAGGGGCAACUGGAAUUCUCGGUGUAGCGGUGAAAUGCGUAGAUAUCGAGAGGACACCUGCGGCGAAGGCGGGUGCUGGG
rnacentral:rRNA from 1 species